rnacentral:miRNA from 1 species
CUACUGAUUAUAUAUCUGAUACCAG